GGAACUGUGCCUGAGUACACAAAGGGCCACUUUGAUAGAGUGAAUUACAAGGGUUAAAGUCCCUUCAGCUCCU
rnacentral:tRNA from 1 species